rnacentral:rRNA from 1 species
UACGGAGGAUCCAAGCGUUAUCCGGAUUCACUGGGUUUAAAGGGUGCGUAGGUGGAAUGUCAAGUCAGUGGUGAAAUACUGUAGCUCAACUAUAGAACUGCCAUUGAUACUGUCAUUCUUGAGUACAUUUGAUGUGAGCGGAAUGUGUCGUGUAGCGGUGAAAUGCUUAGAUAUGACACAGAACACCAAUUGCGAAGGCAGCUCACAAAACUGUAACUGACACUGAGGCACGAAAGCGUGGGGAGCAAACAGGAUUAGAUACCCUGGUAGUCCACGCUGUAAACGUUGAUUACUAGAUGUGUGCGAAUCUCGUACGUGUCACAGCGAAAGCGUUAAGUAAUCCACCUGGGGAGUACGACCGCAAGGUUGAAACUCAAAG